AGCCUCGGCUUUCAGAUGCUCUUUGCUCUGCUUCCCAUCUCAUUUUAAAAGCUUUUCUUAUUUUGGGGUUUUAUUGCUUCAUCUCUCACAUUCACUUUCCUGAACCUCACACCUCUCUCUGUUUCUCUCUUCCCUCAUAUGUUGCAGCUUUGGCUUCCAUCUCGCCCUCUGGAUCUCUGCCGUCAAACGCUAGCUGUGUCAAAGUCUUACCAUCUCCACCUUCGAAGGUGAUUUCUGGUGAGCCAUUGAAAUAAAGUUGUUUAAAGCAAAUUGGACAGACUGUAAAAGUGUACUUGUCAUGUCUGAUCGGGUUGCACGAUCAUGUCAUGCUGGUGAAGGAACAAGUGAGCGAGCUUCAUGUCCUUGUGAAUCUGUUUGGAUGGGUCAUCGGAUGUGCACAAGUUGUAAGUCAGAAACCAAGGCAUGUGGUCAUGUAUCAAUUCAUUAUGAGGAUGCCCAACAAAAUAUUCAGGAUUUUAAGAAGCAUGCCUUGUUUAGAGGGUUUGGAGAAGUAACUGAACCCAAAAGAGUAAGAAAAAUCAAUGAGGGUUGUAGUCUGACCGAGAGUUCAAAGGAAACAAGGAAAGAGAGAUGGGAAGGCCAGUCCUUUCCAAUGUUCAGUCUUCCUCCAAAGACUGGUUUGGCUAAACAGAACCAGCAAAAUUCUACUGUCCAUUCUGGUGUACUUAGCGAGAGUAACUCACCUGCAAUGCCUGCCUGGACUCUGCAAGCCACCCCACCGCUUCCGGGGCGGCAGGUGAAAUAUCAUAAUUUUCUUGAGAACAAUAGCCUAGCUGUUUCUGAGCCAUUUCCAGAUGAAUUAAUGAGAUCAGAUUCUGAAAUUGUGCCACAUCAAUUUAAGGGUGGGAGCACUUCUUUGCCUUCUUUCAUGUGUAGAGAGGAGGAAAUUAAUCAUUCGAACUCUCUUCCAGCACCUCGACAAAAUGUCAGAAAUACUAAAAAUCACUCAAGUUCCACAUUGUUGGCUCAUGAGAAGAAUAUCAAUGCCAAUUUCAUCUCUAGAAGAUCAGAAGGUUCAUUGUCGAGGCAGAAUGAUGCGGUUUUGUUACAACAUGACCCCACCACAAGCAGUAAACGGAAACCAGAUUUUGUUGGUAAGAAUUUCUGGGAAAUGCAAAAUCAGUCUGGUUUUGGUUUGCUUCCAAGCAGCAGCAGUCCCCCAGAGGUGACCAAAUUGGAAAAUGUAUAUCAAGGAUACUGUUCUCUGCCAAGCCUUCAGCGUUCUGUGCAUAACAUGGAUACUAUGAGAAUAUGUGCUACUGUCAACGUUGGGGAAGAAUUAUCUGGAGGUCCUCCCAAGUUUUCAAACACAAUUCACCAUUUUCUGUUCUCAAAAAACACCGGUGUUAACUUGUCUGAAGGAGCUCAAGUGUUUGGACAGUCAACUGUAUCAAAAAAAUUGAAAGGAAAAGCUUCCAGUGAGCUCCAUAGUUUUUCUCCAGAGGUUCUCCCUGUUCAGCCUGGAUUCAAGCUGCUACCUUACAGGAGCUCUACAGACAGUGAAGGAGAGGAAGAUGUACGAGAUGUCAAGGCUCCUGCGGUCGAAUCAUCUUCUGAAACAGAUAUUAUGGGCAUGGAUGCUUUCCAGGAUAACAUUCUUCCUUGUGUGGUGGCGUCAUCUCCAUCAGAUAAGCAUGUUGAGAGGGGCGAGAAGUCACCUACAUCUCGAUCAACCUUCCCUUCAGGCAGAGAAGAGAUUGGAGCUAGACUUACUUCCACAAAAUUAUUUGACAUAAAUCAGGUUGCACCUUUUGCAAGUUCAGCAGAAGAAAGGGAGACAAGCACUUCAAAAACCCAGAGUUUGGAUGUGGAACAUCUCCUUGCCCAUGCUGAGCAGCCAACAAAUUCAAAAUCCAGUGCAAGUCCAGAAGGACCUCAGGGACCAGAGCCAGGCAGCAGGUGGGUUAAACGUCUCAAGUUGAGUGCUUCUCAGUCUGCUCAUGGUACAAAAAGCUCAAAAUUGGGAGAAGCCUCUUCACAUGAAAAAGUAAACAAAUUUUCUAACAGGAUUACAAAAUGCGGUAUAACUAGUUCACAACCUGCUAUGGGCAGAUUUCUUGGUAAAGAACAGAUGGCAUCAGAUCAAACUGCAACUUUAUUAAGAAAUGGUGAGUCUUCUUCCAUUGACUUGGUGGCGAAAAUUCAAAAUAUAACACUCUCACAUCCUUGGAUUCAGAGGUGGUCUAAUAAAAUAGCAUCCCAAAAGAAGUCUGAAGCAGUGGUUGUUUCUAAAUCGCAACGUUUGAAAGCAACAGUAGAUGAAAUUCAAAAGAAGCAGUUUCCAAGCAUUGCUGCUAUGGCACUCAUGGGAAAGGCCAUGAGUGGUUUCCAUCCAUGUGAGUUUGCAAACAAGGGGUCAUUUGUGGUUUGGAAUACCAAAGGAUUUUAAAUAAAUGUCAUGCAACUCUGGAAAGAAGAGUCGGGUAUACAAAGCAUGGGACGAUGGCAUUGGCUUGACGAAGAUAAAGAAUGCGUUGUCCAUCUAUGAGAAUCCAUGACGAGGGCUGAUUGUGGAGUUAUAUAUUAUGAAUGUUGCAUCGUGGUCGGAGGAAUCAUAAAGGUGAAUUACUCUGAUGGCCACCCAUUAGGCUCCGGAGCUGCUGAUUCAGCUGAUGAUGCAAGGGAGGUCUUCCUAGAAAAGAUUAAGGACAAAUGAUGCAGUGGAUCGCUUCCAUCGUUCAACUCAAGCCGCGAUAUCACGUCUUGAUACACCACAACAUCCAUAGACUAAGAAGGAGAAACUGUUGACGAUCUUCUGCUUCGAAUUAGUAAAAAAAAUUAUGCGAGCAAGUUUUACAAUUCCUGCGCCUUCUGAUUGGCUGUCUAUAUGCUUUUAUGCUGUUCUGGUAUUUGGUUGCCCUCCCCAAGUCUUGCUUUUUGAUUCUUGCUUUAAGGUUCUGUAACAUAUGCUGUAAAUUUUCCUCCAUCUUCUUUGGAGAAUAGGUUGGUUGUUUAAGAGAUCAACGAAUUUCGAGUUUUGUAAGGCAUGAUGGAGACAAGUUUUGUUGAUCCAUUUGAUCAGAUGUAGACAACAAACAAAGACAUGCCAUCCAAACAUUUUUCAAA